rnacentral:lncRNA from 1 species
UUCAGCCCUAUGCUUGAAAUUCCUCCGAGGAACCUCUGUGAGGUUUUCUUUUUUCUCUCUCAAUGUGAGCUAAAAAUAGCAACGGGGUUGGCUCGUGAUCCAGAAAUAGAUAGGGGGCAUCACUCGUAUAAAAGGCAUACCAUUCAAGAGUACAGUGUGUACACUCAGUGUAGGAAUCAAGAACAGCAGCUGAUAUUGCACUGUUAUAAAUAUAUUUCUCUGUUGUUUUGUGACACUUAAAUAAUGUUAGUGAAACGCAUUUCCCCUUUCAGCGAGGGGUUCGCGCAUUGUGGAAAGAGCGACCCUUCUCGAGUCGUGACUGCUAAAGUGAGUAGCGCGCGUACUGCGUCAGAGGCGGCAGCUGCCCUGUGCUCGAGACAGAAGCAAGGAAUCGUGACCGAUUGGAGGCGGCCACAAAUUAAAGUCCCGGCCAAUCAAGUCGGCGCAAGAGCGAGCCUGAAGAGUUCGGGAACUUUUGGGGUUCCAAUGGAUCAAAUUGAUUGAAUAACCUGUUUUUUGUUGUUUUUUUUUCGCGCCACCGACUGUCGACUGUCUCCAACUUGCAUAGGCUACUGCAGGCUAUACAGCAUGUAUGUUUGGGUGCGAUAUAAAAAGGGGUAGUCAAUGGGUUAUCCUAAUAUCGUGCCCUGUAGUCCCCUAGUCCACCAGUGUAGAUAUUGGCUAUUUGAGGAUUCAAUCCCAUUGCGCUUGUAGACAACGCAGCUUUUAAAGGCAAUAUUAGCGCGGUUGUUGAGAUCGCAUUCAAGGUAAACGCUGCAGAUGCCGGCUCCUUUAAAAUGUCAAGCGCGCAAUGAAGCGGACAACGCGGAUCAGAAUGAAUCCCAGCCUUGGUCUAAAUGUGGAUGAUCAUUGGAAUCUGUAAUGUUAGACCUAUAAGUCAGUGCUGCUUCCAUCACUGUGGGGUGUCCAGUGAUGGUUCAUGUUGUUGAUGGUUGAGUAAAUGUUUGGUUAGGGGAUGUGGGAUGAAUGGUAGACUAUGCUGUCAGAUGUCAUCAUCUAUUAUCAACAUUAGGGCUAUGUUUCUCACCAUCAAACAUUUG